GUAUUGGCUGACUGAUGCAGGAUUUCACAGGGGUCGGCAACGACGCUUGUUAAACUCGAUCUCAAAUCAAGUAAGACUACCCGCUGAACUUAAGCAUAUCAAUAAGCGGAGGAAAAGAAACUAACAAGGAUUCCCCUAGUAACGGCGAGUGAAGCGGGAUGAGCUCAAAUUUAAAAUCUGGCUGGUUUACUAGUCCGAAUUGUAGUUUAUAGAAGCGUUUUCGGUGGCAGCCUGGGUAUAAAUCCUUUGGAAUAGGGUAUCAUAGAGGGUGAGAAUCCCGUCUUUGACUCAGUGCAUGCUACUAUGUGAUACGUUUUCAAAGAGUCGAGUUGUUUGGGAAUGCAGCUCAAAAUGGGUGGUAAAUUUCAUCUAAGGCUAAAUAUUGGCGAGAGACCGAUAGCGAACAAGUACCGUGAGGGAAAGAUGAAAAGAACUUUGAAAAGAGAGUUAAACAGUGCGUGAAAUUGUUGAAAGGGAAACGUUUGACACCAGUUAUGCGGGUGGAAAAUCAGUCUUUUGCAGUGGGGAGUUGUGGGCGUUCAGACCGCAAGGCUGGCGUUUGCUUGAUCUCUGCUGUAAGUGAUGCACUUUUUCAUUUGCAGGUCAACAUCAGUUUGCUUUGCUGGACAAAACCCCAAGGGAAGGUGGCAGCUUAGGCUGUGUUAUAGCCCUGGGGCGAUACAGUGGAGUGGACUGAGGUUUCGCAGUGUGUGCUUUCGGGCAAGGCUGACUGGGUGCUAUGGGAUCGUUCGGCGUACAAUGCAUGCAUUUUGCGUCGUGUC
rnacentral:rRNA from 1 species